GGGUCCGCGACCGUGGACUGGAGAGAAGGCGCCGCACAUCAGCUAGAAAGACUCAGGAGUCCCUAUCACCCCCCACCCCAAACUCUGACCUCUUCCAGUCGGCCCCCAGCCCUUUCCUCUGCAGUCCCUGGCAUUCAGCUUCCCUGGUGCCUCCUCUCUCAGACCCAGAACUCCAGGACCCUCCUCCUUCAGAGAGGAGUCCAAGCUCCCAAUCCGCUUUAUUUAGCCCCUAUCUUUCUGGGUCUCCAGGCCCGGCAGGGCUGCAGCGUAGGGUCCGCUCACCUGCACCGUGGGCGGGGUGAAGGGUAUGGGUGGGAUAAUGCGGUGGGAAAAGUAGCUGCUGGUGAGAUGGCAGUUGGGCCUGGAUCCAGGUACCUCGGUUGCAGAGAUACGACAGCCCGGAGCCAGGGUGCCACUGGCCAUGGUUCCACCCCCACUCCGUAGCCAAGCAGGAGCUGGCUUAUUGUGGUUGUUGCCCCAGGUGACAGAACCCGCCCACCCAGAACCUAGUCAAUCAAGGGCCUGCAGGCACCUGGAUGGAUGGAAUGAGAAAGAGACCCAGAGACAGGGACCCCAAGAGGGGGCCCAGAUGCUCCUGGCUGCUUCCUCCCUCUACCAGGCCUGCCCACCUCAGGGUAACGAUUUCCAGACAUCCCCGGGGCUCCCCGACCCUCCCUGCAUGCACGUGCUGAAGUAAUCAGCACUAGCAUUGGCUGUCCUGCCUGCCUUUGAUUGGCUUGAAAAGUUCCACCUGGGUAGGCGGGGUGUGGAAACAGGGAGGCACCCACAGAGAAGUGCACCGGACCAUAGCGAAAAACAUGGGCUUUGAUGAGUGAGAAAGAAAUACAAGAGAGGAGAGAGACAGGGAGGAAGACACAGACCACGCUGGAAACGGAGCUAUUAGUACUCACCCAGAGGCUAGAGCCACCGGAAGUUAGAGACAGAGAGAAAGGCGGCAAAAAAGAGCAAAAUCAGAGAUGGUAACAAGGAGAUGUAGAAACGGAGGCAGCCACACCCCUCCCUGCCGAGGGGCCUGGUCUGUACAGAUUGGUGGAGGGGGUGCCUAUGUCCUUUGCUCAAAGCUGGACCUGAGAGAGAGAGAGGGGGAGAGAAAGUGAGAGAGAGAGAGUGUGUGUGUGUGUCUGUGUCUGUGUGUUGGCAACACAUGUGGGGAGAUGGGUAAUAGGUAAAGGGCUAUUGUGAAGUCCUGUGGUCUGUCCCAGACAGAGAGAAAGAGAGAGAGAGAGAGAGAGACAGAGUGUGUGUGUGUGUGUGUGUCUGUCUGUGUGUUGGCAACACAUGUGGGGAGAUGGGUAAUAGGUGAAGGGCUAUUGUGAAGUCCUGUGGACCAGAGAGAGAGAGAGAGAGUGAGUGUGUGUGUGUCUGUAUGUCUGUGUGUUGGCAACACAUGUAGGGAGAUGGGUAAUAGGGGUCAUAGGUGAAGGGCUACUGUGAACUCCUGUGGUCUGUCCCUGGCUUCCCUUGUCAUUUCUUCACCAUAUAGAGCUUUUGGUCACCGGGCACGAUGACUCACUCCUGUAAUCCCAGCACUUUGAGAGGCAGAGGCGGGCAGAUAACUUGAGGUUAGGAGUUUGAAACCAGCCUGGCCAACAUGGCAAAACCCUGUCUCUAUCGAAAAAUAUAAAAAGUAGCCAGGCAUGGUGGCGCACACCUGUAAUCCCAACUAAGGCAGGAGAAUCACUUGAACUCAGGAGGUGAAGGUGGCAGUGAGCUGAGAUCAUGCCACUGCACUCCAGCCUAGGGGACAGAGCAAGACUCCAUCUCAAAAAAAAAAAAAAAAAUAGCUUUUGGUCUAGGCCUCUGCCUCCUCAACCCUCAUUAUCUCAUCCCACGAGCCCAUUCUUCAGACAAGGAAACCUGAGGCUGCCUUCUGCAGCCAGGCCCACAAUCCCACUUACUGUUCCUCCCUGAAUCAUGCUUCUGGGGCCCUUCUGUUGGAUUUUGCUGACCCUACUCAAGGGCUCUCAAUGACGAAUAACCCCCUGAUCCUAGCCAGGGGGACGGCGAGUUAGUCAGAACCUCAUGUCCCACUCAAACUGGACAAUUUUUUUUUUUUUUUGAGACGGACUUUCCCUCUUUUUGCCCAGGCUGGAGUGCAAUGGCACAGUCUCCGCUCACUGCAACCUCCGCCUCCCGGGUUCAAGCGAUUCUCCUGCCUCACCCUCCAGAGUAGCUGGGAUUACAGGCACCCGCCUACACGCCCAGCUAAUUUCUUUAUGUAAUUUUAGUAGAGACGGGGUUUCACCAUGUUAACCAGGCUGGUCUUGAACUCCUAACCUCAGGUGAUUCGCCUGUCUUGGCCUCUCAAAGUGCUGGGAUUACAGGCAUCAGCCAUCGCACCUGGCCAUCAAGCUGGAAAAUUUUAAGGUCUGUUUCUUUCCCAAUGUAGAGUAAAGUUGCGAUGUCAUCCCCCGACCCCACACUGUUUUCUACCAGAGUUCUCAUACUGUGACUCUGUAUAAAAUGGUUUGGAAGCUGGA